rnacentral:rRNA from 1 species
UACGUAGGGUGCAAGCGUUGUCCGGAAUUAUUGGGCGUAAAGAGCUCGUAGGCGGUUUGUUGCGUCGGCUGUGAAAUCCCGAGGCUCAACCUCGGGUCUGCAGUCGAUACGAGCAAACUAGAGUGUUGCAGGGGAGACUGGAAUUCCUGGUGUAGCGGUGAAAUGCGCAGAUAUCAGGAGGAACACCCGGUGGGCGAAGGCGGGGUCUCUGGGCAACAACUGACGCUGGAGGAGCGAAAGCGUGGGGAGCGAACAGG